GACGAAGGGGGCAAGCGUUGUUCGGAAUUACUGGGCGUAAAGCGCGUGUAGGCGGUUGCCCAAGUCGGGUGUGAAAGCCUUGAGCUCAACUCAAGAAAUGCACUCGAUACUGGGUGACUAGAGGACCGGAGAGGAUAGUGGAAUUCCCAGUGUAGUGGUGAAAUACGUAGAGAUUGGGAAGAACACCAGUGGCGAAGGCGGCUAUCUGGACGGUUUCUGACGCUAAGACGCGAAAGCGUGGGGAGCAAACAGG
rnacentral:rRNA from 1 species